GAGUGGAAAUCAUCGUGAUGAUGAUGAUGGUGAUGAUCGUGGUCGUGAUCAUGAUCGUCAUCGUCGUGAUCAUCAUCAUGGUCGUGG
rnacentral:misc_RNA from 1 species